GCGGUGCCGGCGACUAGCAGCGAGAUGUCCUGGCCCCUUCCAGGUUUGGGAGAAUGGAGAGAGCAAGGUGUAGCUGAUUAGCAAGUUAAUUAUUUCAGUACCCCAAGGGUUCAUGCGUGGUGGUAAGUUGUCCAGCUCUGGUGUAAUUUCACAGUCUGUGCAUUUCUUGGUGAGCACCUGGGGUGCCUGAGUCUGUCUCUUUCUCCAUCCACCUGCCUUGUAUCUUCCCGACACACCUGGAGAAAGGGGCAGGGUCUGUGGUGGUGGUCCUUGUUAUGUAGGUUGAGGUUGGACAGAACUUCUGAGAUGCCCUCUACCUUCAAAGAAUGCUCAGUUCCUUAUCGCUUUCUUCUUCACUAAAAUAUCUUGUUUAAUAAAUGUUAAUGAGGUGGUUAUCAGUAAGUGGGGUGGCUGUGAGGUGACACCCCAGAUUCAGUCUGGAGAUAAACUAUGAUGGAGGAGCCCAUGCUUGGCAUCUCCUCCUUCUGGCUCAGCUCUCUGAGCUCCAAGCUCCGUUUGAUUUCUCACCUCUGGCCACCACCUGUUCAGCAGCAGCUUCCUCCAGCCUGACCUCCCCUUAGGGAGGGGAGGGAGGAUUGUGUGGUCAAAGGAAUGGAUACCUACCCCCAGAGAGAUAAGUUGGAGAUGUGAGCAAGAGGGGCAGAAUUAACAGCUUUAGGCCUCUGCUUCUAGGCCAGCUUCCUGCUCCCAGGAUGGGAGGGCCAGCCCCCUGCCUCUCCUUUUGAGCCAGGCAAAGGGAGGGCUCUCCAGUUUACUUAAGAGUGGUCCCAUCUGCUCAAACUGGCCUUUCAUAAGGGGAGGGAUUUAUGCAGUGUCCUUGUGCUUAGACCUGGGAUUUGGCUGAAAACCUUAGGCCUUUGAGAAUAUUAUCUAAUGCGGGGAUGCUCGGUCAUAGAGAUGAUUCAUCAUUUUGUCUUUGUGGAGUGUGUGUGUGUGUCUGUCUGUCUGUCUGAGUCUAUGUCUUUAUGUCUCUCUGUGUCUUUGUGUAUCUGUGUGUCUGUCUGUGUGUAUUUGUGUCAGUGUAUGUGUAUGUCUAUGCAUAUUACUUUGUGCUGUUCACACUUUGAAUCCAAAUAUUAGGGAGACUUAUUUACUUCCGUUUCUUCUUUUCUAUACUGUCUCAGGAGAUGGCCUUGGGAGAGCAACCUCCGGACCUCAGCAGUGUGAGGAUGACAACAGUACCCUGUGGUGCUGUCCCCACUCAGGUUGGCUGCCAUCCCUGCUGAUGGAGAGAGGCUGAAGUCUGUCUGAGAAGAUAGUGCAGGCAGCUACUUAGCUGGUACUAAUUGUAUUUGCAGAGUAGGGGUGAGUCCAAUUCCUACUCAGAUUAGGUUUAGCCUCCCUGGCCUCACAGUGCUGGGAUGUUUGCAUAGGACAGAAGGUAGCAGAGAAACUUCAAGGGCAGGAAAGGGCAGAGGGAGGAGUUCCAUGGAUCAGCCUUGCCCAAGUGGAGCCCAGGGAUGUUAGCAACAGGACACGAAGGAGAGCACUAGGCUUCCGUGUCGAGUCCUGGGUAAAUCUGGAAGAACCUGCAAGUUGUCAUUUAGUUAUCUUCUCUGGGAUAAAAUGUGAUUUCCCUUCAGUGUCAGUGGCUGGUGAGCUCUUCUUCCAGAACCUUCUUACUGACACCUGAGUUUGACCUUUCAAAUGGGGACCCUGCUUUCCCAACUACCUAGCUUUUCUUUGCUUCGGGCAAACAGCUUACAUCCAAGUCCCCUGACCAGUCUUAAUUCUUUGUUUUGUUUUGUUUUUCAAUACAGGGUUUCUCUCUGUAGCCCCGACUGUCCUGGAACUCACUCUGCAGACCAGGCUGUCCUCAAGCUCAGAGAUCUACCUGCCUCUGCCUCUGAAGUACUGG
rnacentral:lncRNA from 1 species